ACCUAAAAGGAGUAUCUGGCGGUCAAAAUUGGAUGUCAAAUACGUACUAUAAACAUCACAUGCAUACAUGAUUUUACGAUCCCAUAAUAAUAUACAACGUAUUUCACAUAUAAUCAGAUGAAUUAUCGUUAGAUUAUCUUAUGUCAUUAAUAUACCUUCACUAUAUAAUAUGUAUAUACCUAUACAUACACACGCAUAUA
rnacentral:lncRNA from 1 species